rnacentral:tRNA from 1 species
UUUCCUGUGGUGUAGUGGUUAUCACGUCAGUUUUACGCACGGAAGCUCCCCAGUUCGAUCCGGAGCAGUAACA